rnacentral:ncRNA from 1 species
UAAAAGUUUUAUUCUAGCUAUAAAGUUAAUUAUAAUUUUAUUUUACAUGUAAGGUUUAUCGUAAGUAAUCUUGAAUUUAAAUAGUUCAAGAAUUUUAUUAAUUUGUUCGCAGUAAAGAGAUCUAAAUAUCAUUGAAAGUUGGAUUUGGGAAUAAUUUUUAAUACUAACAAAGUUUGUGCCAGCAGUUGCGGUUAUACAGAUAGUGUGAGUUAAUUUUUUCGGUUGCCAGUUAAUUUUAAGAUUAAGAAUUUUAAAUUUGAAUUUAUAAGGUGGAAUUUGUAAUUUUAAUUAAAAAUUGAUUUUUGUUAUUAAGGCUGGGAAAUUCAGUUUAUAAACUAGGAUUAGAUACCCUAUUAUUCUGAAUGUAAAUUUUUAUUUGCUUGAUUAGUAGUAGUUAUGUUCUUGAAAAUUAAAGAUUUUGGCGGUACUUUAGUCCAUUCAGAGGAACCUGUCCUAUAAUUGAUGGUCCACGAUUUACUGUACUCUUCUUAUUAGUUUAUAUAUCGUCGUAGUUUGAAUAUUUUGGUAGAAUUUUAAUGUUCAUAAUUUUUUUAUAGAAAGGAAAUCAGAUCAAGGUGUAGCUUAUAGAAGGGGAGAGAUGGGUUACAAUAAAUUUAUUUAGAAGGAUUUAUUUUUGAAGUUUAAUAAUGAAUUUGGAUUUGAAGGUAAUUUUAAUUAAAUAAUUAGAAUGAUUUUGGCUCUAGGGUAUGCACAUAUCGCCCGUCGCUUUCACCCCAAGGUGAAAUAAGUCGUAACAUAGUAGGCUUACUGGAAAGUGAGCCUGGGAGGAUGAAAAAUAAGUAA